GUGGUUACACACAACCCUUGAACAGCAGCCUCGAGUUGUAGCAGCAAUAAGCCCCCGGUCCCAAGCGAGAGCAAGAAGACAGCCUGGAAACAGAAGUCUAGGAGAACAUCAGUGUCUAUCUCAGGGUUUCUCUCUCAGGUUACUGUCUGAAGGAGAACAUCAUACGAGUUCCACUACCAGAUGAAAAUGUAAACAUCAAAACUCAAAAGCUCUGCAUGAUUUAGGAUUUAAAUAUACUGAGAGGAAAAUAGAAAAGUAUGAGAUGGCUUAUGAUAAAAUCUCAAGUAAAAUGAAAAAAAAAAACCCAGAGAAAGCAGUAGAAGAGACAGACCUGAGUUUCUUCUUCGUGGUGACUCCACUUCUUCUGUGAUCACAUCGUGUAAUGGAAAGACAUAGACAAAGGAGAUGGGCGUGAGCGGAUGUACUCAGAAGUUAAAACUGACACAGAGGGAAAGGACCAAUUAUUGUUUUGAGAGAGAAGCUUGUAGCACACUAUUAUGGGAAAGAAAUAACACAGCACACACCAAAAAAGGAAACGAAAAAAAAAACCUAAUGAAGAGUUUGUUAAACUACUGUAGGUGAAAAGAACCAGAAAGACAGAGUUAGUGUAGGAAUUGAAGAAAUAACACAAUUUUACAAUAAAUUCUGAGUAGCAAGUCCAGACAUUUGGGGAAGAAGGAAAGGUUUAGUUCAGUGCAAGGUGAAUGGUAACCACUUCACUAUCACUCUUAACCUUGAAUUUGUUUUGCAAAAUGGAUACUCUAUUUACAAAUGAAAAGAAAUGCAUUAGAAAAUGUAGGUAUUAUUUCACCCAAUCAAUACAGUGGAUCUAUGUCCCAAUAGUACUUAUGAAUUUACAUUUUUCACAAAAAAGCCAAUUUAUAAACACAUGCCAUUUAUCAUAGACAGUUUAGCAAGUAACUUUCAAAUCACCAUAUUUAACCCUGCAAAGUCAUAUUUCAUGAUUUCAAGAAAACAAAUUCACAUUAGAAAAAAACAUCUCACAGAUAAUGUGCAUUAAAAUAUUAAAUUAUAAACCCAAACUCUGACACUGUAGGUUUCUUGGAGAACUUUUUAAAAAACUUUUUCUUAAGCAGAGGAGACUUUGGAAGCAUAAUAAAAAUGGUCUAAAACCACACAAAACCCUGCCAGUCUUAGCUUCUCUCUUCCAAAAGAUAAGAAAGUUGGCACUGAAAAUUUUGGCACAGGUGAAAAGUAUCAAAACAACAACCUUACAAUUCCUUCCAUUUUCAUUUCCCAAUCAUCCCAAGCAUUUCCAAAAAAAAUAUAAAUUAAACAGUUAUUGGAUUCAA